rnacentral:antisense_RNA from 1 species
UCACCAAGGUGGGUUUAUACUGAUGAUAUUUACCUUAGUUUUUCCAUCUUUUUUUUUUUUUUUUUGAGAUGGAGUCUUGCUCUGUCACCCAGGCUGGAAUGCAGUGGCGUGAUUUCCGCUCACUGCAACCUCCACCUCCUGGGUUCAAUUGAUUCUCCUGCCUCAGCCUCCUGAGUAGCUGAGAUUACAGGCGCCCGCCACCAGGCCCGGCUAAUUUUUUGUAUUUUUAGUAGAGACGAGGUUUCACCAUGUUGGCCAGAUAAAAUACAGGAUGAAAAAUGAAGUAAAAGACUAAAAAUAUAAUAAUGAUAACAGUUGACAUGUCAAGCCAGGGCAUAUUUUCUUUAUCAUUUUGUCGUGUUAUCUAAACUUUGCAUGAUGCAGUUAUAAUGCUUUUAGAAAAUUUUUGGAAAGUUAAAUGUAAAUUAGAUGAAAAUCUGUCACAUAGCAUAAGAAAUCUGAGAAAAUCUCCAAACCUUACGGACAUCUCCAUGACCUUUGCCCCACACAUAUGCCAUGGUGAUGCAUCCCAGAACUAGAUGUGCAAGGCGCUGUGACUUGUGGUCUGUGAGAUGAUCAAUGCUGAGCAUGUUUAACUGAAAACAAAU